CAGUAGCCGCGGUAAAACGUAGGGUGCAAGCGUUAAUCGGAAUUACUGGGCGUAAAGCGUGCGCAGGCGGUUAUAUAAGUCAGGUGUGAAAUCCCCGGGCUCAACCUGGGAACUGCAUUUGAGACUGUAUGGCUAGAGUGUGUCAGAGGGGGGUAGAACUCCACGUGUAGCAGUGAAAUGCGUAGAUAUGUGGAGGAAUACCGAUGGCGAAGGCAGCCCCCUGGGAUAACACUGACGCUCAUGCACGAAAGCGUGGGGAGCAAACAGGAUUAGAUACCCCCGUAGUCCCUGUCUCUUAUAC
rnacentral:rRNA from 1 species